rnacentral:rRNA from 1 species
UACAGAGGGGGCAAGCGUUGUUCGGAAUUACUGGGCGUAAAGCGCGCGUAGGCGGCUUUGUAAGUUAGAGGUGAAAGCCCGAAGCUCAACUUCGGAAUUGCCUUUAAGACUGCAUCGCUAGAAUCAUGGAGAGGUGAGUGGAAUUCCGAGUGUAGAGGUGAAAUUCGUAGAUAUUCGGAAGAACACCGAUGGCGAAGGCAGGUCUCUGGGCAUUAACUGACGCUGAGGAGCGAAAGCAUGGGGAGCGAACAGG